rnacentral:rRNA from 1 species
UACAGAGGUCUCAAGCGUUGUUCGGAUUCAUUGGGCGUAAAGGGUGCGUAGGUGGCGCCGUAAGUCAGGUGUGAAAUUUCGGAGCUUAACUCCGAAACUGCAUUUGAUACUGCGGUGCUUGAGGACUGGAGAGGAGACUGGAAUUUACGGUGUAGCAGUGAAAUGCGUAGAGAUCGUAAGGAAGACCAGUGGCGAAGGCGGGUCUCUGGACAGUUCCUGGACACUGAGGCACGAAGGCCAGGGGAGCAAACGGG